rnacentral:tRNA from 1 species
GACUCCGUGGUACGGUUUGAUAGAGCGCCCGUCCGGCAAACGGAAGUCGUAGUUUCGAAUCCUAUCGGAGUUA